UUUGAAAUGCAACAGCUCCGGGACCGCGUUGGAUGCUUGUUUGAUACAGAGAUGAGCGGUGAAAACGUGAAGUUGUUUGUGGGGAACCUUCCUUUAGAUGCAACUCACGACGAGCUGACCAAGCUCUUUGCCCCGUAUGGAGAGAUCAACACCUGCUCCUUGCUCAGACAGUAUGCUUUUGUUACCCUGAAAGGAGAGGGUGCAGCAGACAGGGCAAUACGGCACCUUGAUGGUAAAGAGUACAGAGGCAGGCCCCUGGUGGUUGAGGAAUCCCGUGCACGCCCACCAAACUCCACUAAAGUGUUUGUGGGGAAUCUCAGCGCAACAUGUUCAGCAGAUGACUUGCACGGGCUGUUCUCAACCUUUGGAAGAGUUUUAGACUGUGAUAAAGUUAAAGCCAGAUUAUGUUCAAACGUUGGCUACGCCUUUGUGCAUAUGGAGAGGAAGGAGGAAGCCCUGGCGGCUAUAGAGGCGCUCAACGGUACCAUGUUCAAGGGCCGUCAGUUGGCUGUAGAGCUGUCCAAAGCCCAACCUUUGAUCAACCAGAUUGUAUCAUCUGGAAAUUCAACCAACCCCCCAGGUGGCAGAGAGGGUCUUCUUCCUCGACCUCCUCCGUCACUAGAGCAUCACCAGAGCCAAGCAGCCGUGCUAGCAGCAGCUGCAGCAGCUGCCGCAGGACUACCCAUACAAGUUCAACAAAGUGUCCAUAACUCAUUCUACAACACCACAUCCUUUGACCCCACCUACGCAGCUCUGAAGGGCAUUACAAGUGCUAAAGGUGCAGAUGGGGUGAUAUACGGUGCCCUUGCCAGCCAGGUGUAUGGAGCCGUUGCUGACCAGGUGUACCACGAUCUGGCCAAUCACAAUUCUGCAGUCAGCGUCCCUGCUGAAGAAGUAGAGCCACAGGCUGUACCAGAUCCAACAACACUUUUUGAGGCAGCAAGAGCCAAGUUCUUUCAGGAGGGACAGAAGGUUCUGGCAGAGCAGCAGGCAGGGAGAAAGGCAGCAUCUUCAGAUACCGAGCGGGACCGCAGCCCGAUCCGAGGAAAUCGAGCCCCCCUCCUCCCUGACCCUGUUCCGGGUUCCUUCGCUCAGAUACGACCCAAACGACGCGCCCUGCUGCCGACACCACCUGGAGCACCUGAAGAGCCAACAGCUGCAACCACAACUCCUGAAGGGUCAGAUGCUGUUGCUAGGUCCUAUACAGAGUACUACCAGCAAAUGCAUCAAUACCAGCAGUAUCAACAGUACCAACAACAGUACCAGUAUCUCCAGUAUGCCUACACCAAUCCUCCUCCACCACCUCCUCCACCUCCACCGGCCACCACACAGGCACAGGCCUCCACCACAUCCCCUGCACCCCCAGGAACAUACACAGCACCCCCAACAUAUGCCGCAUCGGGAGGGUAUGCAGCACCGGGAACAUAUUCGGGAAGUUACGACCCCUCAUCAGGGAGCUAUGACGCUUCAUCUGGGAACUACGACGCCUCGUCAGGAAGCUACGACACCUCGGCAGGCUAUGACGCGUCUGGAGGCUACGGCACAUAUGAUUCAUCAGGAGCUUACGCAGCAGCGGGAAGCUACUCCACAUCCACACCGUAUGAGCAGACAGCCGCACACGGGCAACCCAUGCCCCAGCGCCAUGAUUACCCUUACCACACGCCAGAACCCCCUUAUCGAUAGUCCCAUCCCCCACACAGUCCUUCCACACUGUAGAUGUGUGUGCGUGCGUGUGUGUGUGUGUGCGCGCGCAUGUGUAUUUACAAAAGGGACGGUUUAAAGAGGAAAAUCAGAGAGGGAGCAAGGUUGUAAUUCGAAUGUGCUUUAAAUCUGAAGAAUCUCCCCUUUUGUACAUUUUAACCUAGUCUGUAACUAGUUUGCCUGUCAGUUAAUGGCUGUGAAGUGGGUGAUUAUAUGAGUGAACAAGUGGACACAGGUGGAGAUGAGUGGGACAGCUAAUACUGGUAUAUUGUCAAGCAUUCAGUUUUCUGUUAGAUGUUACAGAGGCACAGCUAGUUCCUCGUUGAAUGUUUCUUUAGGCAAAGUUAGAUUCAGAUGCCAGAGGUAGAUUUCAGAGAAGAUUUUUUGUUCGGUGCUGGAUCAAGGCCUCUUCCAUACUCUACAUGAAAAUCUGCACCAAAAAAAAGAGUAAAAUGUGCAGUCCGAAAUUUAUGACACUAGAUUUUUAAUUGCAUCAUCACCUGUGUCAGGUGGGCACAAAACUGAAAAUGUCACUGAACAACUAUAUAAGAAAUACGUAGGUUAUAUCUGUUUAAAUGGAUGAACUGGUGUCCUGGCAAAAUGAGAAAAUUACAUUACAUUGUAUUAAAAAACCUUUCCUUCUUCUUGGCAAAAGGUUUUUGCAGUAAUGGAGGUUUCAGGUCUGUACAGGCACAUAUUCCUUUAUGAUCAAAUUCAAAUAAACAUUCAAGCCCACCCACUUGUGUUGGUGUAGGAACACCCUGUGUGGAGUAUGUCACAGGCCUUAGUUCCAGAUCUGUCGCAUUGAACCUUUUGUAACAGCCAGCCAGACAUUUAACUGCAGACAUUUCAGUGGUGCAUCAGACAGAUUUUGUUGCCUUUCUUCUUUUCUUUUUUUUUUUUUUUUUUUCUUUUUUCUAAAGAGCUUUCUUCUGGUAAAGAUUGAGAAUGUGUGUUAAUUGAAUGGAUCGUCUUAUGAAUAUGUUCUGGGCUGGUUUCACUGAACUGACAGGUUCUUAAAGCUAAUGGAGUAAUUCACACUCGAAGUGGUGUUGAAGUAUUUUUUUGACCCUCUCAACUUUUGGGUCAGGAAAAUCUUUGAUGUUGAAAAAAUCACCAAUUGACUGGUUGGAAUCAUAGGUUGAUGGAAUUGUGUUGCCGCUCAAUUGUGUGUAAAGGGAUUUUGUGGUUCCCCGCUGGCCUGAAAGGCUUUCUUGUGUUUUUGGAGUGUGAAGAUUGCCUCCGAAGUAAAUUUCUAGUUCACACAGGCCAUCCUGUUUAAUUGGGAGAGUUUGUUUAACUUAAGACAGAACUACGUGCUUGGAGUUUCAUAGUUAGGAGGGAUAGCCAAGAACUUUUUGACAUGAGUUCGAUAACAACAGGGUCAAACUGAGCAGAUGUUUUCAGCGAUUAAAUUGAAGUAUGUGACUUGGAUGUUCUCUCGGACAGUUUGCCAUAAUUUACCUUGCUUGUUUUUCCUCGGUUCUCUGUGUAUCUCAGAUUCGGCACAAAUGCAAGUACCGGUCUGAGGAGUUAGGUAUAUCCUGUCAGAGUUUUUGGUCAAAGGUCAGUCUUUGCUUCUAAAAACACGAGAAAGGAAUCUUGAAGUAAUUUUGUAGUCAUUCACAUUUCUUUCUUUCUGUUUCAGUUUUGUGUUGAAUUGCUGUCGGAGCAUUCUGCUUGAAAAGCAUACGUGUUUCUCUAAUUUUAAUAAUCAUUUGAACCCAGGAACCCAGCCUGAAAAAGAGGAGUCGUGUUUAUGUUGGUUUUGUAUGUACAUAUUUGAAUUUAAAAAAAGAAAAGCCAGAGGGGGGGGGGGCAGCAAAUAUUGUUUAGCCAAUGAUGUUAAAAGAAUUUGAGCUUUAUAGAUGAAAAUUUAAUAGAUUUCCAAUUGGUUUUUUGACAUUUUCUAUCAUUAGUUUUGUUCCAGUCUAAUCAGCUGCUGUCAUGCUUCAGCUCACAUUGGAAACCACUGGUGUGACAAUGUUGAGCUUCUUUUCAUACCAGAAAAUGGAAAAUUUGGUACUUGUGUAAAUACUUGAAACUUAAUUUUAAACUGCAAAAGUAAUGUCAACCAACAUUUGGUAAGAAUAUUGACUGUUAAGAUGAAGUGAUUGUGGUUCCUCCGUCACAGUUGAUGAUAGUGAGUAGACAGGAUGAAGUGGGACUGUUGAGUUGUCUUAAAAAAAAACAACAACUCUUCUGUAUGGCUGGAAAAGAUCACCGUCAUGCUUGUAGCAUGUAGCGAGUGGUGUUGAGCCGCUGUGACAUAUGAGUGUAUGAACUAAACUCGCUGUAAAAUCAGACACUGCGUAUGAGUUGAAGUGCAGAUUGUAGAAAUUGCUGGGGAAAAAAGUGAGAAAUCACUGGAGGUGAGAAGCAGGUACAAGUGUGUCUUGUCUGAAUGCAGUGCAGUGGCGUGUUGCUGAUGUGCAUAGUGUAGGGUUAUUCACUGAGUGGAUAUGAGGUGACAGUCUUGGUGCUGCAGGUGAACAUGAAGGUUGUUUUGGAUUUAACGAGCAGCAGCGAGAAGGGCCGGUGACCUUUCCUUUUCCCUCUUCUGAUCUCAGCAGAAACACACAGUUUUGACACAUGGCUAUGAUCACUGGCGUUCUCUGCAUCCAUAUCACACUAAGACAGCUGUUCGACUCCACACUUAUAACUAGUCGUAUUUUAACCGGGUUCAUUGAAUUUUACUCAUGUAAAGCAGAUUUCACGUGCAAAUGAUACUAAUGCACACCUGAUCCCACCUGAAUUUUAUAUGACUUACACUAGUUGUUCCGUUCGUGAUUGUAUCACACACUAGCUACUCAUCCUAUUUGUUAUUCGCCACCUGAAUUGGUAGUGCUGUGCUAGGUUUAAGUGACACAUAGCCUCUCUGCAUUUCCACAUUAUUCCACCUUCUCCAUGUGAACUGUUAGUUGCAUGCCUUGUUGUUGCUGCUGCUCCAGCCACCUUCUUCCUCUUGCUGAUUAUUGCAGCUAGAGUGGGAGGGAGCCAAACAGAGCCCUUGCCCUGGACGUACGCCACACGCAGCUGUAGCGUGGGAUGGGGAAAACAGCAGCGUUAGGCCUGAAACUGCUGUGGACGAUGGGGUGUCCCCCCACUAAGCCACCAGAUGAGUUCCAUGAAGUAGCUUCACUGAUGAAUGCAAAGGUCUGUUUUAUAAGGAUCCCUGUUGAGAAUCUGCGAACACUUGAAUCUGGAUGAUGGUCUUGGAAGUCUUCCAUCAUGGAAAAUACAAGACUACAAGCAACCCCUUGUUCUUUGCUGCCAUGGUUACAACAUCAUCCCUACAUGAAGUGCAUCUGCAGAGGACGGGGUGAGAAUGGAGAGCAAUUUAGUUCAACAAAACACCUCAUCAAGUGUUCAGGCAUCUAUUGACAAGCAUAUUACCUGCCGCAGUGCCAGGAAAACAGCUUCUCAGGGGCGUGAGUGCUCAGUAAGCAAUUAUAUUACUCUGUUAUGUUUUGAAUAAUUGGUCAAAAUACACUUGAUUGUUUAUUCUGCUGAGAGUCUAGUGUCUGUACUAACUGACGAUUACUCACCGCGAAAAACACUUUUUUCCCGCACUUGCUGGUCAAUUUGAAAAUUAUCUGACAUGAUUCAUCCUACUUUUUCAGGAGUCCACAGCUUGAGCGCAACUUAUCAAUCGUUAAGCACAGCUAUGAAUGAAUGCAUCAGUUAUUCCACACGACUUGCAGACAUGAAGCACAGAUGCAGUAUUUAUUUUAAAGGAAAAUUCCACAUUUGGUUGUACUUGUGCCGUUGUAUUUUAUAUCAGUUUAGGUUGAUAUUUACAGUUUCCCAAAGCAUAAAAGCAAGAGCAGCUCAGUAUUCAGUCAAGUUUUCCAAAAUGUCAAACUACAUGUGGUACAUAAACUAACGUGUGUAUCUGUGUGUGUGAUUGUGUUACCUGUGUCCCCGGGAUGGGUCCAAAGGGAUUGGUAGGUCUCAGGACAGGCUGGUUGUACAUGACAGGCUGCGGGGGCAUCAUGGGAACGCCCCCCAUCUGAUGACUCAUCUGAGGAGGGAGCUGGUGAGACGACAGGCACUUGGGGUGUCGUCAUAGGAAAAGCCACUGGUGCUGGAGCCUGUACAGGAAAACACAAUAGAUCACUUUCUAGCCUGUGAAGUCGUCACCGAAAAAUCUGUCACAAGCGUAAUCCUCAUACUGACAGCCUCAUGUCUAACCUGUCAAAGAUGCCACCUAAAUAAAGACAGAAAUGUUUUUCUCUUUCUUAAACAUUUGCAUUUGUUUGCGUGAAGCGAGACACCUAAUCCUGAGCAACAAAAAGAGGUACAACGCUGAACUGAGGUAGUGCAUUGGCAGCCUGUAAUAACCACCACCGGGGAUGAAACGACAAUGCAGAGGCAGCACAAUAAGCAAAAGAGGUCAUUUUGAGUUAAAAAGGCAAAGCAAAGGAACAGGAUGAAAUCAGGUGCAAAAAAAAGAGGAGUGAGGGGGAGGUGAAGUAAAAAAAAAAAAAAGAGGUACUUACAUAGCCAGUAUAGAUCAUCCCAUUCUGUGGAGAGUUAUAGAAAAAGAAGAGAGGAAAGAAUAGUUUUUAAAGGCAGGUCUGCAUAAGACAAUAAAAGCCGUGCUCGUGGCUUUUCUCCAAAUGGGCACAGGCGAUGAACCAGACCGUCACCAAUUCCUCAUGUUCCAUUCGCUUCUGCUUUCUAUUCAAGUCGUGCCACUGGCUUUCCGAGCCAUUUGCUCAAUAAAUGAGCGGUUUGAGUUGAGAGGUCAAUCAGUCGAAAAUUAAAAGAUGAAACAAGAUUGAAUGGAAGAGACGUGUAGAUAAUUAGA